CACGACUAAAAACCCAUGUAAGCCCGUUCCAAAAAGUAUCUUGAGCAUUAUUAAGCACCCAUGAUAACUGUGUGAAUCUCCAAACGUCUUUUGUUGUAGAGCAUUCACGAAAGAUAUGAUUGCAAUCCUCCUCUUCCAGUUUACAACGAGGACAUCGAGCAUCUGCAACUAUUCGUUUUUCUUCAGAUUAGCAAAACUAGGAAAGAAGUUCCAAGAGAAUCCCCAUAUUGAAGCUUUUAUUUUUGAGGGAAUUUGUAGAUUCCAAAGUUUUUUGUAAAAAGCUUUAGUCUCAGUUUGUAAAUUAAUAGGAAUUUGAGUACCCUAUUGUAAUAGUUUGUAAGCGCUUCGAACCGAAAAAAUGCCAGAAAGUUCUCCUCUCCAGACUUGAAAAUCUUCAGUUGCUGUCGUUGCCAGUGGAAUUUGCAAGAUCUUUUUAACAACU
rnacentral:lncRNA from 1 species